GGAUGGGGCGUUUCCGGGAUGGGGAGUAGCUCUCAUCUGUAUCGCUCUUAUCUGUGCUGCGGCAGGAGCUGCUUUUUUGAUGUGGAGGGUGAGGCAACAGGGAGGCAAACUUGACCUCAGCAAAUUUCGAACACCGAGCACCAAGGUUAAGAUCCCGAGGGCAAGGGUCAGAGUUGAGUUGUCGGGAAAGUUGCAGGAAGAAAUCGACAUGAAAGACUUGGCCGUAUCCGAUGACCCUGACAAGGAGAAAGGUCAAGUCAAGGACACCAGUGUCAAGGACACUAAGGUCACUGUCGAAGAGGAAGACAAGAGAACAAGUCUUUGAGG